rnacentral:rRNA from 1 species
AUUGAACGCUGGCGGCAUGCCUUACACAUGCAAGUCGAGCGGCAGCGCGGGGGCAACCCUGGCGGCGAGCGGCGAACGGGUGAGUAAUGCAUCGGAACGUGUCCUCUUGUGGGGAUAACCAGUCGAAAGACUGGCUAAUACCGCAUGAGAUCGAGAGAUGAAAGCGGGGACCGCAAGGCCUCGCGCGAGAGGAGCGGCCGAUGCCGGAUUAGCAGUUGGCGGGUAAAGCCACCAAGGCGACGAUCCGUAGCUGGUCUGAGAGGACGACC